rnacentral:rRNA from 1 species
GACGAACGCUGGCGGCGUGCUUAACACAUGCAAGUCGAACGGAAAGGCCCUGCUUUUGUGGGGUGCUCGAGUGGCGAACGGGUGAGUAACACGUGAGUAACCUGCCCUUGGCUUUGGGAUAACUUCAGGAAACUGGGGCUAAUACCGGAUAGGAGCUCCUGCUGCAUGGUGGGGGUUGGAAAGUUUCGGCGGUUGGGGAUGGACUCGCGGCUUAUCAGCUUGUUGGUGGGGUAGUGGCUUACCAAGGCUUUGACGGGUAGCCGGCCUGAGAGGGUGACCGGCCACAUUGGGACUGAGAUACGGCCCAGACUCCUACGGGAGGCAGCAGUGGGGAAUAUUGCACAAUGGGCGGAAGCCUGAUGCAGCAACGCCGCGUGCGGGAUGACGGCCUUCGGGUUGUAAACCGCUUCCGCCUGUGACGAAGCGUGAGUGACGGUAAUGGGUAAAGAAGCACCGGCUAACUACGUG